UCACACUUCUUCCGAUUAAUUUGAUGACCGCGCCAAGAAUCCGCGACCACGACCACUGCGUCCCGGCGCGGUGCCAAAUUCGGCCAAUUCCACGGCGCCACUUUUUCUUCCCAUGUAUCAAUUCCCAGAAGGGGGCCUAUGAAUAUGUCUUUCUGCUUCCAUGCCUCUGCUGCGAAGGGGGAAGGGUUAAGGCAGAUGAUGGACUCUGUUUUCCAACAUCACCCGAUGCACCGCCGCUUACACCAUCGCUCUCCUCUACUAAGGAUGAAAAGGUCAUCGCAUUUCAGUACAUCAAUCCCUCGGCGUUCAGGAUGGCGUAUUGCUUCUGUUCAUUGCGUGGAAGUGGAACAGUUGGCCAGCAUCACGAGAAUUGGUCUUAACAAGCUUCCGUAUGGUCCCUAUUUGGGAUUGAGCGAUGACAUACAUACGGCCUAUUUGUGUCUGGUUUUUUUUAAGACGAUUCAAAUCUGUUGUCCAUUGAUUUCUUGGAUGGUGUGGGAAAAAGACACAUCAUUUCAUUUGGAUUUUAUUUUACCAUUUGUGCCUCUGCCCCGCACACCUUGAACACUCUCAGUCCAGGCUAACAACACUUAGUGCUCCAGAUGGAUUUCACUAUGAGUCUCUUUCACUUGGAUAUAAGAUAGUGUAUACCAUUUUAGAUUAUACAAUGUGAUUUUGAUUUAUUUUUUUGACACCAUCAGCCCACCAUCCAUCCAUGGGUGCAGCUCCAACAUCGGCGAACUUGAGGUCACCGGGCACCGGUCAGAAGAGGAUCUUGCUACCACGGCCGGACAAAGCAACUAGGUAGACCAAGGUAUCUCUCCAAGUAAACUAACCCAUUUCUGUUUCCCAAUUUUCUUCUAGAUGUGCAAACGUUCACUCGGUCUUAUUGAAACUCGGUUCUAAUGCUAUUGGCUGGCUCAUAAUUGUGUUAUUUCCUAUAACCUUUCCCUGCCUAACAUACUUCAUGCAAGUAUGGUAUUAGGACACAAGGGUGUCAAACUGCACAUGUUUUGUGCUGAUGGAUAUAAGA